GACGAGCGCUGGCGGCGUGCUUAACGCAUGCAAGUCGAACGAAGAGCGAUGGAAGCUUGCUUCUAUCAAUCUUAGUGGCGAACGGGUGAGUAACGCGUAAUCAACCUGCCCUUCAGAGGGGGACAACAGUUGGAAACGACUGCUAAUACCGCAUACGAUCUAAUCUCGGCAUCGAGGAUAGAUGAAAGGUGGCCUCUACAUGUAAGCUAUCACUGAAGGAGGGGAUUGCGUCUGAUUAGCUAGUUGGAGGGGUAACGGCCCACCAAGGCGAUGAUCAGUAGCCGGUCUGAGAGGAUGAACGGCCACAUUGGGACUGAGACACGGCCCAGACUCCUACGGGAGGCAGCAGUGGGGAAUCUUCCGCAAUGGACGAAAGUCUGACGGAGCAACGCCGCGUGAGUGAUGACGGCCUUCGGGUUGUAAAGCUCUGUUAAUCGGGACGAAAGGCCUUCUUGCGAAUAGUGAGAAGGAUUGACGGUACCGGAAUAGAAAGCCACGGCUAACUACGUG
rnacentral:rRNA from 1 species